GACAGAGGUGGCAAGCGUUGUUCGGAUUCAUUGGGUGUAAAGGGCAGGUAGGUGGCCGUGCAAGUCCGGUGUGAAAUCCCAGGGCUCAACCCUGGAACUGCAUUGGAAACUGCAUGGCUUGAGUACCGCAGAGGUGAGGGGAAUUCUCGGUGUAAGGGUGAAAUCUGUAGAUAUCGAGAGGAACACCAGUGGCGAAGGCGCCUCACUGGGCGGUUGACUCGACGACUGAUGCGUGCGA
rnacentral:rRNA from 1 species